AUAGUGCACGCGCGUGAUGAAAAAGAAAUUUAAACAGGACAAAAGGACGCACAUGCAGGCAGGUAUUUGAAUAUAUCCUCCUGGGUGUCUUCUCUAAAUCUAGAGUGUCUGAGCUCUGGGACCUCUGGGCUCAGAAAGACCCUCACGGGUGCAUGUGGCCACAGACCCGGGAGGAUCAUUUCCUGGACCAUCCGCGUGCACCGACAGUUCGUCCCUGGGCCGUUUCUCGCCGCCUCUGCCCAGCAGCAGUUGGCCUCGCGGUUCCCGGGAGAGCCGCCACUUUUCCUGCCACGUUCGUUGGAGUCGAGCGUGGGCAGCCUCUGUAACUUCCCAGGUGAGGGCUCCUGGUAUCAAACGCUCAUUACUGACUACCCUGACGGCUAAUGUGGGACGAGGCAUAUGGGGAAGAGGAGGGCAGCUCCAUUUUUCUUUUUUCAUUUCCUCCGAUUCCAUUCACAUUGAACAUUACGAAUGGUUCAUAAAAUGCAGUUUGCGACUGUGAUAUGGGGACGGAUUGGUCCCAAUAAAUGUCACAAGAUAUAAGACAAAAAAGUACCCUGCAACUGUCUGCGGGACUGUAUUGCUCUCGGUUUUGGCUACGGAUGCACUAAAAUAACCUGUUAACACACACCAAAGUGCAUCCCUAUAAUAACCUCCUCAAUCAUUUAUUAAAAGUCGUGUCAAGCAGGCCGGUAUAAUUCAUUUCUAUGCAAAUACAUCAAUGUCAGGCCAUUAGUGUAUUGCUCAGGUUUUUAUUAAAGUGCAUUCUUUUUAAUUCAGCCCCGUAAAAUACGAGCCCCAUUGCUCAAGAAUUAUAGCAACUAUUAGAGUAACAUAUGGGCAACAUGCACUCAGAAAAUAAAAACCAACAGAUAAAGUGGCAGGGUCACAUCGCAGGAGCAAACACUUAACAAAAUGGCAGUGGAGGUAAUAGAUUUUUUCUCCCAGGGCUUUUGGCGAAAGGGUGUCAUGGGCACCCGCGCCUCGGGAGAGGCAAAAGGCUCGAUCUCCCUGGGUGCUGUGCGAACCCCGGAACCAGCCCCGGGUAGAUCCCCUCAGAGUUGGGAGAGGGAAGGCUUCCAGAGCUCUGCUCCCUACCUGGCCUCCCUCUUUUGGCUCCAGGAUCUCAACACUCACCCGAAAGAAAUGCCAAGCUUCCACUCUGCGGAAACCUAGGUGCCCCGUGCAGGCUCCACCCCGCACCCCCGCCGCGUGUUCCUGGGUAGAACGCUUUGCCGAAAAUUUUGCUAAAGCAGGGAAAGCGCGGGGCGGAUGCGGAGGGCGCAGGGCGCAGGGCGCAGGGCGCGGGCCGUGGUGGUGCCCGGCGGCCCCUGAGCCAACGCCCGGCGUGCGGUGGGGAAGGGGCAAGGUGGGCCCACACGGAUCCGAAACAGCAGCUGACCAAUCAAUCCACUGGAGGAGCCAGCAGCAUCGAAUUCAGUUUUUUUUUUUUUUAAUUGCCAUUGGGACCAUCAAUUUCCAGAGGCCUAAAAAUAAACCUCAAAUCCAAAACACAACACAGCCCUCACAGAAAAAUAGAAAAGGGGGGGAAAAAAACUAAGAACAAUCUCCCGGAUUUAAUGAGAGAGUCGCCCACAUCCUCAUCACCCCAGCAUGGUAAUUGAGCAGAUCUAUUAACUUGUUACACUAGAUUUGUUUAAAGAGACUAUUACACAGUCAUUUAAUCAAUUUGUUACACUGGAGGUCCUGACUUAUGAGACACUUGCCUUAUGAUUCCUUAAUGACUGAAUUAAUUUGUUUUAAUAAAACCAACAUUGUGUACAAGUACAUUUCUAGAAAUGUAAUUUUGGAGACAGAACAGUCCAAUGCUUCAUCUGAUUAGGUCCUUUCUAUGGUUUAUCAAAGUCUGUAGUUUCUGACAUAGCUGCUUGUAUGGAGUAUUUUUCUUUUUUAUAGCGCCAUUAAUUUAAUAUGGAUCAUUAGUUCUUUAUACACAUGCAUGUUCUGACAAAUGUACCCAAUGAAUAAUGCAGCUAAUGUGCUUAGGCCCAAAUGCAUCACAUCAUAAACAGAGACCUCUGCAAAAUAACAACAGUGAAAUAAAACACCCCCUCUGGUCUCCGUGGUCAUCAUUAGAGUAACAUUUUGAGUUACAUUUAAGUCUUGUUUUGCAGAGCAAGACAUGUUUGGCCCCAAGAUUCUAUCAACAUAGCCAACUGGGUCUAACUAUGUAGUGAACACAAAUAGAUUUAUGGUGAAUUAAGGUUGUCUUGAGAGCAGAUGCAGGACAAGAAAAUCGGUUUUGCUCUUGAUGGAAACUGACGUGUGUAGAAUAAAAUGUAAAUAAACAGAAAGUCCCCAAGAAAAGGGACUUGAUGUUAUUGAUUAUGUAAAAUAAUUAGAACAUUACAAAUGAUAAUGCACUACAAAUAGUUGGCAUUUAUGUCUAGAUUUUUUGCAG
rnacentral:lncRNA from 1 species